rnacentral:misc_RNA from 1 species
GGUCUUUGGCAUGCUUGUUUGAAUUCCAACAUCAUCCCCAUCCAAACGCUGAGGCUUGCUACCUUUCCUUUGGACUGUCCUCUUACCCGUGUUUCCAGUAAUGUCAUCUAUGACCCCUGCCAUAUUAAAUGAACAUAUACCUUCUGUCAAGUUACCAGCAGGAGAAAAAAAGCUAUCUAGUUCCCCAUAAGCCUGCAAUUCAUC